rnacentral:rRNA from 1 species
GACGAACGCUGGCGGCGUGCCUAACACAUGCAAGUCGAGCGGAGUUAAUUGAAAGCUUGCUUUUGGUUAACUUAGCGGCGGACGGGUGAGUAACGCGUGGGCAACCUGCCUAUCACAGGGGGAUAACACAGGGAAACUUGUGCUAAUACCGCAUAAUACAGCGAGAAAGCAUUUUCUUGUUGUCAAAGGAGCGAUCCGGUGACAGAUGGGCCCGCGUCCAAUUAGCUAGUUGGUGAUGUAACGGACCACCAAGGCGACGAUUGGUAGCCGAACUGAGAGGUUGAUCGGCCAGAUUGGGACUGAGACACGGCCCAGACUCCUACGGGAGGCAGCAGUGGGGAAUAUUGCACAAUGUGGGAAACCCUGAUGCAGCAACGCCGCGUGAAGGAUGAAGGUUUUCGGAUUGUAAACUUCUUUAGUCAGGGACGAAUAAAUGACGGUACCUGAAGAAUAAGCCACGGCUAACUACGUGCCAGCAGCCGCCGUAA